rnacentral:sRNA from 1 species
GGAAGGAGAAGUCGUAACAAGGUUUCCGUAGGUGAACCUGCGGAAGGAUCAUUGUCGAAACCUGCCCGGCAGAACGACCUGUGAACUAGUGAAAACAUCGGAGGGCGGCGUGCCAUGUGCAUGCUCCCCUCCUCCCGCCACAGGUGCGAGACUCGUCCCGUUCUCUGUGGCGGAAUAACAAACCCCCGGCGCGGAUUGCGCCAAGGAAAUCUAACGAGAGAGCACGCUCCUGGGCCCCAGAUACGGUGUGCCUCGGGAUGCGGCGCCUUCUUUCACUUUAUCAUAUAACGACUCUCGGCAACGGAUAUCUCGGCUCUCGCAUCGAUGAAGAACGCAGCGAAAUGCGAUACUUGGUGUGAAUUGCAGAAUCCCGUGAACCAUCGAGUCUUUGAACGCAAGUUGCGCCCCAAGCCGUCAGGCCGAGGGCACGUCUGCCUGGGUGUCACGCAUCAUUGCCCCACCCCGCCCCCCCAAGGGCAUGGCGGUGAGGGCGAAUAAUGGCUUCCCGUGCGCUCCCGCUCGCGGUUGGCCCAAAUUCGAGUCCUCGGCGACCGAAGCCGCGACGAUCUGUGGUGUAAACAAACCUCUCGAGAUCACGUCGCGCGCAUGUCUCCGAAUUCGGACUCAGGGACCCUGACGCUCCGUGCAAACGGAACUCGCAUCGCGACCCCAGGUCAGGCGGGAUUACCCGCUGAGUUUAAGC